GCACCCUUAGCUCAGUUGGAUAGAGCACUUGGCUUCGAACCAAGGUGUCGGGAGUUCGAAUCUCUCAGGGUGCGCCA
rnacentral:tRNA from 1 species